GCUGGCAGCCAAAUGCAUCCUGGCAGACCCAGCAGUGGGCAAGACCGCCCUGGCACAGAUCUUCCGCAGUGAUGGAGCCCAUUUCCAGAAAAGCUACACCCUGACAACAGGAAUGGAUUUGGUGGUGAAGACAGUGCCAGUUCCUGACACGGGAGACAGUGUGGUGAGUGAUGCCUUUACCCAGGGGAACUCAGGGCUCCCCCAGCUGGGCCCAGGGUCUCUGUGGUCACACCAUCCUCCCUAGGAGAGAUGCAGUGCAAGGCUGUGGUCUAGACUUGGCUGAGCAUUUCGGAAUAGAAUCGGGAAGCAUUCAAGGGAGGGACUGAGGAGGUGGAGGAGGAAGGAAGGAAGGAGGACUAGGAGAUGGGCCUGGCCCUUGAGGAACUUGUUCUCUACUAUCAAGGUU
rnacentral:lncRNA from 10 species